rnacentral:lncRNA from 1 species
AUAUUAAGUUAGGACAGAAUGUGAAGGCACAAGCAGGGUUCUGAGCCAAUUGCCAGACUGUGUUCAAACACCAGGACAAGAACAGAAUGAGACUUCAUUCAUAGUUGGAGAUUGGAAGAGACUGCAGAUCACCCCUUUUUUUUUUAUUGAGUUGAAUCACAUGUAACUUGAUUUCUUGAACCCACCCAAACUUAAAGUGGACCCCAUCCAGCAAAGUAAAGAUUCUUGAUGUAGUCUCCCUUGAAAGAAGAACGGCACUCAGGACGUCCCACUUAACCCAUGGACACGUAGGCUUGGGGAUGUUUAUUAAACACCAGAUAAGUUAGGAAGUCACAGUGUACCAAUUUUUUGUUUUAGUGCUGACACUUUCUGUUUUUUUUUUUUUUAUCCCGAUGGCAGUAGCAAGUGACCAGCGAUCUCAUUUGUUCCCCUGUGUUAGAGUGAUGCAGAUUUCUGACCUUCUGACCACUCUGGGCAGAGUGCCAUAAAAGGGAGCUGUCUGGGCUCCGUGAAUAGCUGUUAACACUCUUUUGAGCAGUUUUUGUCUAGUGUGUACAUAUUUGCAGGGUUUUUUUUUGGGGGGGGGUAUGUUUGUUUGUUUUAUAUUCCAGUUUUUAAAAUAGUAUAAGGCUAUCUACUUUGAUUUUUGUUUUUUUUUGCCUGCUCCUUUUGAUCAGUUAAAUGAAGGACUUAGAGUGGUCUGCAUCCAUUUGCUACAUAUCCCAGGCAAGGAGCCCACAGGGAAGAGAGCUGAGUGCUGAGCUCCUGCAUCUUAUCUUUUGUGGGAGAGAUGAGAAUAAGUAAAACUGGGAAGAGCACAUCUUCUCAGUGACUCUUAGCCACAUGGAUGGAGUGGCGAAGUUGUCCCAGGCCAAAGACUGUCCACUGCCUUGUCCCCUUGGAAGCCCUUUCCUUGUGUACAAAUAACCAGUCAGAAAAUCUGGAAAACAUAGCAGAUCAUUUCAAAAUGAGUUCUCAGGUCUUCAGAAAGACUACAAUCAUGCAAGUCUCUUCCUGCUCUAAAAGUCAUUUAGAUCCCAGAAUUCUACUGAACUGAAAGCCCACAAAGAGGCGGUUUCAUGUUACUAUUCAAUCUUCAGCUGUAAGAGGAAAUCUCUAUUUUUAUAUUGAAACACAAUUACUUGAUAGCUCAGGGUCUACAUUUCACUCAACUUUUUACACCAAAUUCUGAAGAAUGGUCAAAAUAAAAUAUUGGGGGCUGUUGUAAACAGAGGCUUAAUUUUAUUAGAAGUAGCCAGUUAUUUAUUAAAGCACGAUGUUAAUAAAAUAGGCAUAUUCUAGCUGGUGUGUAUAAGUGUUUGUUUUUUUUUUCUUAAAGCAAAUCACAGAGAACAUAACUCCAUUUAUAUAAGAGGGAAACUAGAUUGUAAAUAGCUGGGCUGCCUUGAGAGAACUUGGAAAAUGUGCUGAUAGUUAGAAAGUACCUCAGUUGUGAGGAAUUUCCUUUUUAGCUUAGACUGCUAUUACUUUUACUUGGUAGAAACGAAUCUGGUCUCCAAAAUAUGGCUCAAAGAGUUGUCCCUGUAGACCUUGUUAGAUUGUUUUUAAUUUAAAACCUUGAACUCUGCCCAGCUGUUUUCUUUCAGUCAAGUCCUCCAAACUAAUAACAUUUUCCGAAUUAAAUAUUCUUGAAGGUUUCUCUGGACGCUCGCUGAUUUGUUUUCUUUCUUUGCAUUUUUUUCCCUCUGUUGCCCUUUUAUUAUUUAAAUUGUCUUUUGCUUUUGAACUUGAACUAUGAAAUAAACAAAUCAUAGAUUUUUCC